rnacentral:rRNA from 1 species
UCGAACCUGGAGAUAGCUGGUUCUCUCCGAAAUAGCUUUAGGGCUAGCCUCAAGUGAUGAUUAUUGGAGGUAGAGCACUGUUUGGACGAGGGGCCCCUCUCGGGUUACCGAAUUCAGACAAACUCCGAAUGCCAAUUAAUUUAACUUGGGAGUCAGAACAUGGGUGAUAAGGUCCGUGUUCGAAAGGGAAACAGCCCAGACCACCAGCUAAGGUCCCAAAAUAUAUGUUAAGUGGAAAAGGAUGUGGCGUUGCCCAGACAACUAGGAUGUUGGCUUAGAAGCAGCCAUCAUUUAAAGAGUGCGUAAUAGCUCACUAGUCGAGUGACACUGCGCCGAAAAUGUACCGGGGCUAAACAUAUUACCGAAGCUGUGGAUUGUCCUUUGGACAAUGGUAGGAGAGCGUUCUAAGGGCGUUGAAGCAUGAUCGUAAGGACAUGUGGAGCGCUUAGAAGUGAGAAUGCCGGUGUGAGUAGCGAAAGACGGGUGAGAAUCCCGUCCACCGAUUGACUAAGGUUUCCAGAGGAAGGCUCGUCCGCUCUGGGUUAGUCGGGUCCUAAGCUGAGGCCGACAGGCGUAGGCGAUGGAUAACAGGUUGAUAUUCCUGUACCACCUAUAAUCGUUUUAAUCGAUGGGGGGACGCAGUAGGAUAGGCGAAGCGUGCGAUUGGAUUGCACGUCUAAGCAGUAAGGCUGAGUAUUAGGCAAAUCCGGUACUCAUUAAGGCUGAGCUGUGAUGGGGAGAAGACAUUGUGUCUUCGAGUCGUUGAUUUCACACUGCCGAGAAAAGCCUCUAGAUAGAAAAUAGGUGCCCGUACCGCAAACCGACACAGGUAGUCAAGAUGAGAAUUCUAAGGUGAGCGAGCGAACUCUCGUUAAGGAACUCGGCAAAAUGACCCCGUAACUUCGGGAGAAGGGGUGCUCUUUAGGGUUAACGCCCAGAAGAGCCGCAGUGAAUAGGCCCAAGCGACUGUUUAUCAAAAACACAGGUCUCUGCUAAACCGUAAGGUGAUGUAUAGGGGCUGACGCCUGCCCGGUGCUGGAAGGUUAAGAGGAGUGGUUAGCUUCUGCGAAGCUACGAAUCGAAGCCCCAGUAAACGGCGGCCGUAACUAUAACGGUCCUAAGGUAGCGAAAUUCCUUGUCGGGUAAGUUCCGACCCGCACGAAAGGCGUAACGAUUUGGGCACUGUCUCAACGAGAGACUCGGUGAAAUCAUAGUACCUGUGAAGAUGCAGGUUACCCGCGACAGGACGGAAAGACCCCGUGGAGCUUUACUGUAGCCUGAUAUUGAAAUUCGGCACAGCUUGUACAGGAUAGGUAGGAGCCUUUGAAACGUGAGCGCUAGCUUACGUGGAGGCGCUGGUGGGAUACUACCCUAGCUGUGUUGGCUUUCUAACCCGCACCACUUAUCGUGGUGGGAGACAGUGUCAGGCGGGCAGUUUGACUGGGGCGGUCGCCUCCUAAAAGGUAACGGAGGCGCUCAAAGGUUCCCUCAGAAUGGUUGGAAAUCAUUCAUAGAGUGUAAAGGCAUAAGGGAGCUUGACUGCGAGACCUACAAGUCGAGCAGGGUCGAAAGACGGACUUAGUGAUCCGGUGGUUCCGCAUGGAAGGGCCAUCGCUCAACGGAUAAAAGCUACCCCGGGGAUAACAGGCUUAUCUCCCCCAAGAGUUCACAUCGACGGGGAGGUUUGGCACCUCGAUGUCGGCUCAUCGCAUCCUGGGGCUGUAGUCGGUCCCAAGGGUUGGGCUGUUCGCCCAUUAAAGCGGUACGCGAGCUGGGUUCAGAACGUCGUGAGACAGUUCGGUCCCUAUCCGUCGUGGGCGUAGGAAAUUUGAGAGGAGCUGUCCUUAGUACGAGAGGACCGGGAUGGACAUACCUCUGGUGUACCAGUUGUCGUGCCAACGGCAUAGCUGGGUAGCUAUGUGUGGACGGGAUAAGUGCUGAAAGCAUCUAAGCAUGAAGCCCCCCUCAAGAUGAGAUUUCCCAACUUCGGUUAUAAGAUCCCUCAAAGAUGAUGAGGUUAAUAGGUUCGAGGUGGAAGCAUGGUGACAUGUGGAGCUGACGAAUACUAAUCGAUCGAAGACUUAAUCAA